rnacentral:rRNA from 1 species
CAGUACUCCUACGGGGAGGCAGCAGUGGGGAAUAUUGCACAAUGGGGGAAACCCUGAUGCAGCCAUGCCGCGUGUGUGAAGAAGGCCUUCGGGUUGUAAAGCACUUUCAGUAGGGAGGAAGGUAGUGUAGUUAACACCUGCAUUAUUUGACGUUACCUACAGAAGAAGCACCGGCUAACUCCGUGCCAGCAGCCGCGGUAAUACGGAGGGUGCGAGCGUUAAUCGGAAUUACUGGGCGUAAAGCGCAUGCAGGCGGCCUGUUAAGUCAGAUGUGAAAGCCCGGGGCUUAACCUCGGAAUUGCAUUUGAAACUGGCAGGCUAGAGUCUUGUAGAGGGGGGUAGGAAUUUCAGGUGUAGCGGUGAAAUGCGUAGAGAUCUGAAGGAAUACCAGUGGCGAAGGCGGCCCCCUGGACAAAGACUGACGCUCAGAUGCGAAAGCGUGGGGAGCAAACAGGAUUAGAUACCCUGGUAG